UGAACAAGAAACAAUCGAAGAAAAAGAGGCAAAAUUUUCGAUUCCCUAUGCAGGGAAAGUGACACCUGUGGUCUUUAUGACUACCAAAACUGCACAAAACCUGAAGCGUUUCCAUUGCAGUAACCCAAAUUAGCCCCAUUACCAUUACCCCUACAUGCCAUUCAACCGCCAAGCCGAUGCCCACUCCAAACCCCUCGACGUUUUCAAUCCUUACAACAACGAUGAACACCUCCUGAUUUUGUUGGGGUUUUCAAGAAUCAUCGUUUUAACAUCUGGGUUUUGCAAUGGAGGACGGAGAGUUCUCGAUGGAAUUGGAUAUGGCGGUUCGAGUUGUUCAUUUGGCGUGUGCCCUUUGCCGGAGAGUUCAAGAGGGCUUGGUUUCGGCCGAUAAUGCCCAGGUCAUGGCCAAGGAUGAUGAUUCUCCGGUGACGAUUGCCGAUUGGAGUGUACAAGCAACUGUUAGCUGGAUCCUUUCUGAAUACUUCGGAAGCAAAAACGUAUCCAUUGUCGCUGAGGAGGACGUACAAACUCUUUCUAAGCCGGAUUCAAGAACUCUGUUGUCAGCUGUGGUAAAAACUGUAAAUGAAUGCUUAGCUGAAGCUCAAAGAUAUGGCCUUCAAUGUCCACCUAGAGAACUCGGAACUUCUGAAAUUCUCGAGGCUAUAAGCCGGUGCAAUUCGACUGGUGGCCCGACAGGAAGACAUUGGGUGCUCGACCCUGUUGAUGGAACGUUGGGUUUUGUUCGUGGGGAUCAAUAUGCCGUUGCUUUGGCCUUGAUUGUAAAUGGUGAAGUAGUUCUUGGAGUUCUUGGAUGUCCUAAUUAUCCAUUGAAGAAGGAAUGUUUUGAUUAUCAUUAUAAGGCAGCGACACCGAAAUCAUCGCAACCAUGUUCCGAUACCUUCGAAAAAGGUUGUGUAAUAUAUGCAAGGAGAAGUUGUGGUGGGGCGUGGAUGCAGCCAUUAGUCCAUGGCGAUGAGAAGCUUGAAUGGCCAAACUCGGCUAGCCUUGUUCGAGUUUCUUCCAUUGAUGACCCAGCACUUGCAACUUUCUGUGAACCUGUGGAGAAGCGGAACUCGAACCACUCGUUCACCGCAGGGCUGGCUCACAGUGUCGGGCUUAGGAAGCAGCCGUUACGAGUCUAUAGCAUGGUAAAGUAUGCUGCCAUAGCUCGAGGCGAUGCCGAGAUUUUCAUGAAGUUUGCAAGGACAGGAUACCGUGAGAAGAUAUGGGACCAUGCUGCUGGUGUUAUCAUUGUAGAAGCAGCAGGAGGCGUGGUAACAGACGCAGGAGGUCGUCCCUUGGAUUUCUCAAGGGGAAUAUACUUAGAAGGUCUCGACCGGGGAAUAGUUGUUUGCUCGGGGCCAAUCUUACAUGAGAAAAUCAUUGGAGCAGUCUAUGCCAGUUGGGAUUCUUCCAGUCUAUAAAAGCUUUCCCGACAAACGAUCGAUCGAGUCGACUGACUAGCCACAAUUAGAAUUCCGCUUGCCCUAGUUCUUAAUAGCGUUGACAAAGGAGAACAGCCCUCCUGUUGUUGAUAGAUAGAGAGCUUACCGCCCUGCCCUUUAUAGUUGCGACUGCCCAAAUGUGGAAAAAACUCUUUGAAUCAGACUCUAUCAACUAGU